UCUAUAAAGAUCGUGUUCUACAAAAUCAAGUAACCAUUAAUUUUCAGUUAUUGCAUGUUAUCUCUUCCUUAAAAUUUAUUUAUUUUGUAUUUUAUAUUUUUUCUUUACUACUAUUAUUAUUGUCGUAUUUUAUUUUUAAGCUUUUGUUUGUAUAAUUAUGGAGGUCUACUCUAACGGCAGAACACACCCACCCCCACCCCAUAUAGA
rnacentral:lncRNA from 1 species